GGACUCUUUUUGGACUCUCCCUCUGGAUACAACUUGCAGUCCCCGCGGGCAGACGGAAGAUUUGCCGCUGUGCCACUCGAGAGCCACACUCAGCUCUGGCUGAGCAGAGCUGUACCUGACCAGUGUGCGGGCGGGAGACCACCGCGAAGGGCAGCUCAGCAGAUGCAGACAGCCACCCUGGAGGAGCAGGAGCGGGCAGCGUGGCCCCUUGCUUGAUAGCUGGCAAAGGCACCUCCGACCCCAUUCAGUCCUCCACAACUGAAGGAGGCGUGGGUGGCAGAUAAGGAGGCCGCCAGGUUUGAACCCAGGUCCUUCGAGGCAAACAGCAUAAGCCUGACCUACCUGAGCUAAAAGGAGUCCCUCUGUGAGCUUGCAGCAGUAUUAGGCUGUUAGCCAGUUACAGGAGGAGGGACACUGAGCACACACUCAGGAUUGGAUGUUCUUCUAAAAGACGUGCUCUAGUUCAAACAGGAAAGAUUUCGGGGAAGUCCUCUGGCCUGUGUCAUACAGGAGAUCAGACUAGUUGAU